rnacentral:rRNA from 2 species
GAUUAAGUUAUUAAGGGCGCACGGUGGAUGCCUUGGCACUAGAAGCCGAUGAAGGACGUUACUAACGACGAUAUGCUUUGGGGAGCUGUAAGUAAGCUUUGAUCCAGAGAUUUCCGAAUGGGGAAACCCAGCAUGAGUUAUGUCAUGUUAUCGAUAUGUGAAUACAUAGCAUAUCAGAAGGCACACCCGGAGAACUGAAACAUCUUAGUACCCGGAGGAAGAGAAAGAAAAUUCGAUUCCCUUAGUAGCGGCGAGCGAAACGGGAAGAGCCCAAACCAACAAGCUUGCUUGUUGGGGUUGUAGGACACUCUAUACGGAGUUACAAAGGACGACAUUAGACGAAUCAUCUGGAAAGAUGAAUCAAAGAAGGUAAUAAUCCUGUAGUCGAAAAUGUUGUCUCUCUUGAGUGGAUCCUGAGUACGACGGAGCACGUGAAAUUCCGUCGGAAUCUGGGAGGACCAUCUCCUAAGGCUAAAUACUCUCUAGUGACCGAUAGUGAACCAGUACCGUGAGGGAAAGGUGAAAAGCACCCCGAAAGGGGAGUGAAAUAGAACCUGAAACCGUGUGCUUACAAGUAGUCAGAGCCCGUUAAUGGGUGAUGGCGUGCCUUUUGUAGAAUGAACCGGCGAGUUACGAUUUGAUGCAAGGUUAAGCAGUAAAUGUGGAGCCGUAGCGAAAGCGAGUCUGAAUAGGGCGUUUAGUAUUUGGUCGUAGACCCGAAACCAGGUGAUCUACCCUUGGUCAGGUUGAAGUUCAGGUAACACUGAAUGGAGGACCGAACCGACUUACGUUGAAAAGUGAGCGGAUGAACUGAGGGUAGCGGAGAAAUUCCAAUCGAACCUGGAGAUAGCUGGUUCUCUCCGAAAUAGCUUUAGGGCUAGCCUCAAGUGAUGAUUAUUGGAGGUAGAGCACUGUUUGGACGAGGGGCCCCUCUCGGGUUACCGAAUUCAGACAAACUCCGAAUGCCAAUUAAUUUAACUUGGGAGUCAGAACAUGGGUGAUAAGGUCCGUGUUCGAAAGGGAAACAGCCCAGACCACCAGCUAAGGUCCCAAAAUAUAUGUUAAGUGGAAAAGGAUGUGGCGUUGCCCAGACAACUAGGAUGUUGGCUUAGAAGCAGCCAUCAUUUAAAGAGUGCGUAAUAGCUCACUAGUCGAGUGACACUGCGCCGAAAAUGUACCGGGGCUAAACAUAUUACCGAAGCUGUGGAUUGUCCUUUGGACAAUGGUAGGAGAGCGUUCUAAGGGCAUUGAAGCAUGAUCGUAAGGACAUGUGGAGCGCUUAGAAGUGAGAAUGCCGGUGUGAGUAGCGAAAGACGGGUGAGAAUCCCGUCCACCGAUUGACUAAGGUUUCCAGAGGAAGGCUCGUCCGCUCUGGGUUAGUCGGGUCCUAAGCUGAGGCCGACAGGCGUAGGCGAUGGAUAACAGGUUGAUAUUCCUGUACCACCUAUAAUCGUUUUAAUCGAUGGGGGGACGCAGUAGGAUAGGCGAAGCGUGCGAUUGGAUUGCACGUCUAAGCAGUAAGGCUGAGUAUUAGGCAAAUCCGGUACUCGUUAAGGCUGAGCUGUGAUGGGGAGAAGACAUUGAGUCUUCGAGUCGUUGAUUUCACACUGCCGAGAAAAGCCUCUAGAUAGAAAAUAGGUGCCCGUACCGCAAACCGACACAGGUAGUCAAGAUGAGAAUUCUAAGGUGAGCGAGCGAACUCUCGUUAAGGAACUCGGCAAAAUGACCCCGUAACUUCGGGAGAAGGGGUGCUCUUUAGGGUUAACGCCCAGAAGAGCCGCAGUGAAUAGGCCCAAGCGACUGUUUAUCAAAAACACAGGUCUCUGCUAAACCGUAAGGUGAUGUAUAGGGGCUGACGCCUGCCCGGUGCUGGAAGGUUAAGAGGAGUGGUUAGCUUCUGCGAAGCUACGAAUCGAAGCCCCAGUAAACGGCGGCCGUAACUAUAACGGUCCUAAGGUAGCGAAAUUCCUUGUCGGGUAAGUUCCGACCCGCACGAAAGGCGUAACGAUUUGGGCACUGUCUCAACGAGAGACUCGGUGAAAUCAUAGUACCUGUGAAGAUGCAGGUUACCCGCGACAGGACGGAAAGACCCCGUGGAGCUUUACUGUAGCCUGAUAUUGAAAUUCGGCACAGCUUGUACAGGAUAGGUAGGAGCCUUUGAAACGUGAGCGCUAGCUUACGUGGAGGCGCUGGUGGGAUACUACCCUAGCUGUGUUGGCUUUCUAACCCGCACCACUUAUCGUGGUGGGAGACAGUGUCAGGCGGGCAGUUUGACUGGGGCGGUCGCCUCCUAAAAGGUAACGGAGGCGCUCAAAGGUUCCCUCAGAAUGGUUGGAAAUCAUUCAUAGAGUGUAAAGGCAUAAGGGAGCUUGACUGCGAGACCUACAAGUCGAGCAGGGUCGAAAGACGGACUUAGUGAUCCGGUGGUUCCGCAUGGAAGGGCCAUCGCUCAACGGAUAAAAGCUACCCCGGGGAUAACAGGCUUAUCUCCCCCAAGAGUUCACAUCGACGGGGAGGUUUGGCACCUCGAUGUCGGCUCAUCGCAUCCUGGGGCUGUAGUCGGUCCCAAGGGUUGGGCUGUUCGCCCAUUAAAGCGGUACGCGAGCUGGGUUCAGAACGUCGUGAGACAGUUCGGUCCCUAUCCGUCGUGGGCGUAGGAAAUUUGAGAGGAGCUGUCCUUAGUACGAGAGGACCGGGAUGGACAUACCUCUGGUGUACCAGUUGUCGUGCCAACGGCAUAGCUGGGUAGCUAUGUGUGGACGGGAUAAGUGCUGAAAGCAUCUAAGCAUGAAGCCCCCCUCAAGAUGAGAUUUCCCAACUUCGGUUAUAAGAUCCCUCAAAGAUGAUGAGGUUAAUAGGUUCGAGGUGGAAGCAUGGUGACAUGUGGAGCUGACGAAUACUAAUCGAUCGAAGACUUAAUCAA